rnacentral:lncRNA from 1 species
UGUCCAUUCCUCCAAACAAACCGAUGGACGGCUCUAAAUUAAAUAAUAAACAAAGCAAAGAAAUUUAUAAACUGUCCACCUCCCACCUCGGUCCCCCAUCCCGCGCGCCUGCCCUCCGUCUGCAGUUGCUCCCCGGCUCGCGGGUCCUCCGCCUGCGCCCCCCACCCCAACCUUCCCGCGACACCCCACCUAUCCGGAU